rnacentral:lncRNA from 1 species
CUUGGCUCAAUUACUUGAGAAGAACCCCGGAUUUAGGACCCCUCCCAUCAAUUGGAAAAUCUGGAGAAGAGUGCUCAGAUUCUCGGAGAGGCAACAUGGCUGUCAUGGGACAGGUAGCAACAGGUGAAACAGGACUUCUGGCUCAUGACGGGACCACAGACACAGUGGAAAGUCCAGGAGAGAGCAAGGGCUGGGAAAGUGCGUUCUUGAGGCCGUUUCCCCCAGUGCUGAGCGGACCCUGCCUGGGAUGAACUCCAAUCCCUCAUGUUCUGUUGGAGUAUGGAGCUACAAGCUACAAUCAGCUGAGACUGUUCCUUCUCUCUCUCUACAGUACUAAUCAUUAAACCCAGGGUCUUCACACCGAACUACAUUCCCAACAUAUAAAAAUUUUUUUCUUUUGAGACAGGGUCUCACUAAGUCUCUAAGUUGUCCAGGUUGGGCUCAAACUUGAGAUUCUCCUGCCGCAACCUUCUAGAGUACUGGGAUUACAGGGCUAUGCUUCCAUGCCUG